AAAGAAUGCACUGCCUAUAGGUUAGUGGGAGAUGGCAAGGAAGAGGCUCCACGAUUAGAUUCUUUUCGGAAGUGAGCUGCAGAACAGGAUGCCAGAUACGAACACUUCUGUCAUUUCUGUAAACAGUGCAACUCCCAUGUCACCUGGGGACAUGCCUGAAGUAAGAUGCUGUUAUUACUGCGGACAUUCAUCAAAACAUUCCCUGUGCUAUUCUGAAGUUGGGAUUUUCAGAAGUUUGUAGCAUUGGCUUAAUUCUGCAACCAUGACUGUCAUGGUUUUAUGAUUUUUGGUUAUCAGUAUUCCAAAGCAUAACAUCAUGCAGUGUACUGGGAAUUAGAGAGCAGAUGCUCUAGUUCUGGGUACUUGUCCAGAAGGGAAGAAGAACUACGUUCCCCAGAAGACUGUUUCAGUACUGUUAUCAUUCCCGUUCAGGGGAACAGAUAUAAGGCCUGUAGGUCGCCUGACCUGAGUCCUCUUCCCCUUCUCGUCUCGUCGUGCUCACUUUCGGAUCGUCUUGCUGCUGCUCCCGACUGCACGCAAGGCUUCAGUAUUAGUGUGAGGUCUUUAGCUCUUGGACAAUCAUUCUCUUGAUUAUAUUUGAUUUUAUUAACAAUUAUAUUUAAUUAUAUUGUAUUAUAGUGUGUUAUCGUGCAUUCCGAUACUAUAUUUAGUAAAUUUGUUUGUUUC
ensembl:lncRNA